AGACAGGAAAUAGGAUCUUAGUGGGUGGCCGCCAAGAGCGCACAGACUUUGAAGCAGGAAAAGACAGUCUCUAGAGCAACAUGGAAAGGAUCCAGUAUUUGUUUUCAGGCAAAAGCAAGCCUCCAAAAGCCCCUUGGUUCUUCUCUGUGUGUCUCGCCCCUUCUGCCUUGUACACCAGACUGCCGGCAAGCAAGCGGGGAGGUGGCGAACAGCUGGGAUCCUCCAGUGAAAAGUUUGCUCAGCGCGAGAGAUGUCAAGAGGCUGGGAUUGUCGCCUAUCGGGAGGUGGGGAGCUCUCUCACUCACACUUCCUGGGAAAUGAAGGAGAACUAAUAGGCAGCCCGCAUUUGCAGCCAGCCAACCUGGGUGGUAUUCCUUGAAGUGAAGCGCUCAUAAAUCCCUUCUGGGGCCAGAGCCGGUUUCACAAGCUGCAGGAUUUGGGUGGCCUGCCUGCUCUUUGGGAGCGGGCUUGGGAAGCUGAAGAAAUUGAAUCAGGACCUCAGGCCCUUUACAGACUCCCUUCUACACUUGGUUGCUGAUUAAGAACAUUAUGUGGCAUUUAAAAUGGCACAAUUAUCUUCCGUUGGCCGUUCCUAGCUAAAAGUAGACUCCUAUCAGCCCGUGACUGACGACAAGAAGGCUCUUCGUCCCUGUUUUUGAAAUAAACAUGGGUAUAAUCUGAAUGUGUCAACUGCUUAUUUCCUAAGGGAGUCUAAUGGAUAAUUUUUAAAAUCUAACUUGGACGUAUUCAUAAUAAGCAUCGUCCAUUUUGCUAAGUUCUUUCCUAAGGCAAAUAAAUAGAGUCUUGCAAUUGCUUUCUUUGUUCUUGUCAGAAUGUUUCAGGUUUAGAUUUCUCACCCCAGGGGAAGAAGAAUGUGUGUACAAGUACAUUUGGCAAACUGGGUUUGAAAAUGUAGAGGAAUAUGCUUCUCAAUAGAGAAGUUUCCCUCCCAUAUUUUCUUAUGCUAUGGGUUGGAAAGGCUAUGUUUCCCUGUUUGCCAAAUGCAAAAACAAACAGGCAAACAAACACAAUUUUUAAAAAAAGUUAAAACAAUAAGAAGGCCAGAAGCAAUCUAAUUUCAGUAAUAUUUUUAAGAAAUUAAUGGCCUGUAUAUGUGGCAACAGACACUUGGAAAAGAUCAGGCCGACAGAUGGGCACAAGUAAAGCCACAGGAAAACUGGGAAGGAUGAUAAAUAUUAUCUGUAGGACAUUUUUAUCCCCCUUGUUAAUUAACUAUCCUGCUUUUCUUACAACAGCUAUGCUUAUUUUCCUUUUUACUCCAAAAUUGUUUUAUUUCAUAUUGCUUUCUUUCAAGUUUUCUCAUAUUUCCCUCCUGUGAGUUUUUUUUUUCUUUUUUUUUUUUUCUAUCCCAAAUCUGCUUUGAUUUUCCAUCCUGUGUUCUCUCCCACAUCUCCUUCAACAAGGUUUUUGCAGGGAGAAAGGAAGGACAUUUCCUUUGCCUCUUGUCAACUUCUUAACAAUUUUCUUGCUAUUAAUGUCUAACAACUUUCCAGCCCCAGGGAAUACACAUACCUUCUUUUUCUAUAAAUUGUUGUGUGCUGUUCUCACUGCCCAUCGUUGAAAAUGCAACAUGGCAUUAUUAAUCUUACUCUCACUCUCUUUUUUUUUUCCUCUUAGAAGAAUUCCACAGAUGAAUUGGUUCUGCCCUGUAUCUUUGAAUGGUUUUUAUUUUCUGAUGUCCAGUGUGGCAGCCUGGCAGAGACAUUUAGUUGAAAGAACACGGGGCUCUGGAAACAACCAGUCCUCCUUGGUUCAUAUUCUCGUGUUGUCACUUAUUAACCGAGUGACAUUGGAAUCUAAAAUAUUCCUGGAAAUGGAGAGUCCUGACAUGAUGGCCCCAUGAUGAAAAGAACCCAGGUUCCUGAGUCACGACGUGGACAUGAGGCACCAAGGAGAAAACACGUGAACCUUAAUAAGUUUGGGGGUACACCUCCUUGCCAUGUGUUACCUUCUGUCAUGUUAUGAUGCAGCAAGAAGGCCCUAAUCAGUGGUAGUCCCUCAGUCCUGGACUUCUCAGCCUCCAGAACUAGCUUUGACAUUCUUCUGUCAAGUCACCUUGCAAGUCUCAUGCUUUCUGGAUUCACUGCAGAUUAGAGUACCCAGAAUUAGCCAAGACCUUCAACAUUUAAUGACUAGCCAUGGAGAAGAAAUAAGAUGAACUGCUUGUCCCAGAAAGCGAUAGAACUUUGAAAGCAGCUAUAUAUUUCCUAGCUACCUCUAAAAAAUGGAGCUGUCUUCAUGAGACCUGUAAGAAGCCAACAGGUAACUUGAGAUAUAAUACUUAAAGGAAUGGCAAAGUAACUGAUCUAAUUAAGACAUCCCCCAAAUAUCACAAAGUAGGAAGAUUGAUGCUGAAAGAGAUGCUUUGAGCACCAUUGGUUGCCUGUAAGGAGUAUGAUUUCAAAUGGCAAAGUUGACUGGAGAACCUCCUAGGCAUUAAGUGGUUUUCAAGAAGACUUUCUUUGGCUUUCUCUUUGUUCAUGAAACAGAAAACUGUGUUUGGGUUGCAUUCCAAUACAGAGAGACUUAGUCCCUAUAAGAUUGAAAUGUGCUGGUUCUUAGGUAAUUAGGACUCCUUCCCAGCCCAAUCGAGAAAAUUGGCUUUGCCUUAUGCUUGGAAAGAAAGUGGAACGUAAAUGGAAGCCAGUAGAUAUUUCACCUGCCACUCAACUCAUUAAGGUUAAUAGCAAAUGAAUAAACAGAAAUUCUGUUGAGGGAUGUGGCAUGUGUACCCAGUCAUUGGUGACAUGGCUAUGUGCACACGGAGACUUGCUCUGUCAGAUCAGUAGGAUAAUUUUAGCUUUUACUUUUGCCCCUUAGAUCUGAGGUUUCUCAUUCUGUCCUCAGUGAUUAAUGAUGUUCUGUUACUUCAGAUGCCCAAAACCUGGCUCUGGCAAUUGGAUGUUCAUUUGGUUGCCCUGAUGUAAUCAUUGAAGGGAAUGGCGUUAAUGGACCGUGGAAUAGUUGGCCUCCAUAUGUGGAUGGACUGACUUAUGUGGAUGGACUGACUUAGACUGAAUGUUAAAGUGACCCAGUUUAUUGUUUGAUAAUUGGCCAUGAAGUGAACCAACACUAACGUAUUUGGUGAUUCAGUUAUUCUAAAUCACUGUUUGGUAUGAGAUGAGAGAAGAAUGGGAAUAAUAUCUAGUGUUAGUUCUGUAAUUUUGUUAAGUAUUUUUGAGGCCCUGCUGUGGGCUGAGUGCUGUUCUAGGUUCUGACAGGGUGUUGGAGGAGAGAUUAAAAGGUGAACAAGAUAUUGCUUCUGAUCUUGAUGUGUUUUUAUCUGGAGAAAGAAGACUUCGGGCCUCAUAUCCUAUUUUGCUCAACUCAGGGCAGAGACCCGAGAAGCAUUAAGAUUUAAAAUGCAGGAACGUGUGAGAUCAUUGCAUAAAGACUCAUUAUAAAAAUGCCAAGCAGUCUGAGAAGCAGUAGAGAGAACAUAAUUAAAAGACACUGUUUUAGUUUUCUAGGGCUGCUGUAACAAGGGAACACAAAUUGGUGGCUUAAAAUAUCAAGAAUUUACUUUAUCACAGUUCUAGAUGCCAGAAUCCAAAAUCAAGGUGUCGGUAGAGUUGAUUCCUUCCUGGAGGUUUAGAGAAAGAGUCUGAAGAUGCCUCUCUUUUGGCUUCUGGUGGUUGCUGGAAAUUCUUGGCAUUCCUUGGCUUGCAACUGCAUAGCUUCAACCUUUACAUCGGUUGUCACAUGGCCAUCAUCCCUCUAUGCCUUUCCAUCUCUGGCUUUCUUCACUUCUUAUAAGGACACCAAGAAAUACUGGAUUAAAACUACUCGAGUAUGACCUCAGUUUAACAAAUGACAUCUGUAAUGACCCUAUUUCCAAAUAAGGUCACAUUCUGAAGUUCUGGGAAUUUGGGGGUAUGUGUGGGGACACUAUUCAACCAAACUUUUCACCAACUGACAUACCUACAAAUGUUGACAAAAUCAGCAGGGCAGGAGAGUAAAGAAGUGAAACAAUAUACUUCCAAGAAAGAAGCAAAGAGAAGAAAGGUAUUGUUCUUCUAUUCCUCUCCCCUUAGUUUAAUACAGGCACCGAAACUUGAAGUAGGACUGUAGCAGAACUAAUAUGAUAAUUACUUUCAGAGGAAAAUGU